CCUACGGGAGGCAGCAGUGAGGAAUAUUGGUCAAUGGACGCAAGUCUGAACCAGCCAUGCCGCGUGCAGGAAGACGGCCCUAUGAGUUGUAAACUGCUUUUGUACGAGGGUAAACGCAGCUACGUGUAUCUGUCUGAAAGUAUCGUACGAAUAAGGAACGGCUAACUCCGUGCCCGCAGCCGAGGUAAUACGGAGGAUUCAAGCGUUAUCCGGAUUUAUUGGGUUUAAAGGGUGCGUAGGCGGGCGGAUAAGGUAGAGGUGAAAUCCCGAGGCUCAACUCCGGAAUUGCCUCUGAUACUGUUCGGCUAGAGAGUAGUUGCGGUAGGCGGAAUGUAUGGUGUAGCGGUGAAAUGCUUAGAGAUCAUACAGAACACCGAUUGCGAAGGCAGCUUACCGGGCUACUUCUGACGUUGAGGCACGAAAGCGUGGGGAGCAAACAGGAUUAGAUACCCUAGUAGUC
rnacentral:rRNA from 1 species